rnacentral:misc_RNA from 1 species
UACAGAGGUCCCAAGCGUUGUUCGGAUUCACUGGGCGUAAAGGGUGCGCAGGUGGCCAUGAAAGUCUGAUGUGGAAUCUCCGGGCUCAACCCGGAAAAUGCAUUGGAAACUACCUUGCUGGAGGAUUGGAGGGGGGACUGGAAUUCUCGGUGUAGCAGUGAAAUGCGUAGAUAUCGAGAGGAACACCAGUGGCGAAGGCGAGUCCCUGGACAAAUCCUGACACUGAGGCACGAAAGCUAGGGGAGCAAACAGG